GGUUUAAUUCCGAAGUUUGGAUUCAAGCCCCCCAAGCUGGAGGGGUGGUUGGCAGGAGCCCCAAUAAUCAAACCCGGGGGAUGCAGCAGCGCAUCCCUGGGGACCCGCAGCGAUUCCGGCGCUGGGAUUUGGGGAAUUGGGGAUCCAGGAGCCGGUCUGGGGUUCGCUGCCUCCCUCACCCCGCAGCACCCACGCGCUGGGAGCAGGGAUGAGAUCAGCCUUAAAAAUAGCCCAAAAAGCAGGGAAAACAAACAGCAGCCGGCUCCUUGGGUGCAGGAGGGAAAACAGCCAACUGGGCGGUUUAAAACUGAUUUUUUGAGCUAUCCCUCCCCGCCGUGAGCUCCGAGGGGUUAAAAAUCAGGCGCUGGUUGAAUUAAAAAUUGAAAAGCCUGGUUGGAGGGGGGUUCUGGCAGAGCACUGCGGUGGUUUAUUGAGGAAAUCGCGGGGUUUGAGGCUGAUUCAGGAAUCCCGGGGUAUUGCAGCGCUGAGCUGCUGCUCUAAUUGCCUUUCGAGCUCUGACAAACAGGAUACGGGCGCUAAUUAGCUUCGCCCCAAAUAAAUGCGUUCCUUGGCCAAAGCCCUGAAGGAGCUGCUUCCUGGGAACCCGGGAUUUUCUCCCGGGAAAAUCCCAGAUUUCUCUCGGAGGAAUAAAAACCCGGAGCUGGCAUCUCUCCGCUUGGAAAUUCUAUUUAUAGCCUGCCCGUGGCAUUAAUAUUAAAUUACAGAUCGAGUCAUUUCACAGGGAUUUUUUUUUUUUUUUUAACCUUUCUGCCCCAGAUUCGCGGAUGCUGGAAAUGAAGAAUUAAUUCAGGUGGUUUUGUGGCGGAGCUGAUUUUCAUCCCUGCUGGAGGAACCCAGUGGAAAAUGGAGGCUGUGAGCAGCAAUUACGUGCUCGGCGUUGGCAAGGAGGAGGCUUCGCUUCGGAGGGGAAAAAACCAACACCCAGAAAAUUCCUCCUCGCUGGAGGCCGGGGCAAAGGGCAGAAUCCUCGGAGAAGGAAUUGCGGAUUUUGAGCGAACGCUGAGUAAACAAGAACCGGGCAGGAGCAGCGCUCUGGCUUCUAAGGAACGGCUGGAAAUGUCAUUUUUCUGUCAAGGAAAGAGGCAGCCCCGCAUCCCCGGGGCUCCAACCCCCCUGGCCUGGGGGUUUAUCCCUCCCGGAGCCCCCACGCCCCGUUUUUCCCGGUACUCACCGGCUGGGAAGGCGCUGCCCGCCCGCUCCGGGUGAAUCAGCCGCGGAGCUCCGCGGAGGAAUAAAUAGCGAGAGGGAGGAGCUGCUCCAGGGCAGCCCGGCCCCGCCGAGCCCUGCCCGCAUCCCUCACCCAUCACCAUCAUCAUCAUCAUCAUCAUCAUCCCCAGCAUCCAUCCCCUUCCCCGGGGAAACGCGCGGCCGCUGCCCCGAAAUCCCCGGGUCACCCCAAAAUCCUGCCCCGGGCACGGGGAGCGACGCCGGAGCCAAAGGAGACCUGGAAAAUCGCGUUGUUCCUAUGCUUUAAUUGGGAAUUAUCAGGGUUUGAGGCCGGUUUCAGAGCCUUGGGAUAUUGCAGCACUUGGAUUUGAUACUGGGAAUAGGAAAUUUCCAGCUCUGAGGAAAUAUCAGGGCUUGGAGCUGAUUUAAAAACCUUGGGGAGCUGCAGAACACGGAUGGUUUUAUUGAAGAUUUAUCAGUUUGAGGCCGAUUUCAGAGCCUUGGGAUAUUGCAGCAGCUGGAUUUGAUACUGGGAAUAGGAAAUUUCCAGCCCUGAGGAAAUAUCAGGGCUUGGAGCUGACUUAAAAACCUUGGGGAGCUGCAGAACACGGAUGGUUUUAUUGAGGAAUUAUCAGGGUUUGAAGGUGAUUUUAAAAUCUCAGAAAACUGCAGAACACCAAUGGUUUUAUUGAAGAUUUAUCAGGAUUUGGGGCUAAUUUCAGAGCCUUGGGAUAUUGCAGCACUUGGAUUUUAUCCUGAGGAAAUAUCAGGGCUUGAGGCUGAUUUUAAAAUCCUGGGAAAUUGCAGCAGCUGGAGGAUUUUAUUGAGGAAUUUUCAGGGUUUGAGGCUGACCUGAAGAUCCUGGAAUAUCACAGCGUUUGGAUUUUGCACUGAAGGGAUAUCAAGGCUCGGAUAAUGUUGGAAAAUUGCAGUACCUUGGUGGUUUCUUGGAGAAAUACCGAACAGAAUGAGGAGUUGUGUUUGCAGAAACAGAGAUCCCAGCUGCACAUCAAGCAAGAGCAUGGAUUAUUUACGAGGUUUUAAUUCCUCAUGGAAGUCAUCAGGGCUGAAGCCUCCCAGCCCUUUAAUGGAUUUUCAGCAGCCCAGGGUAAAAUUUCUCUCAGCCUCAAGGCAGGAGCUGCAUCGAGCUCCUCAGAGCUUUGGUUGUUCUUCAUCCACGGUGGGAAUAACACCCAGGCCCUGUGCCAGCCCAGAAAUCAUUCAAUGGCAUGAGUUUUGCUCAGAAAUCAUUCAUGGGAUGAGUUUUGCUCAGAAAUCAUUCAUGGGAUGAGUUUUGCUCAGAAAUCAUUGCUCAAUAAUCAUUCCUGGGAUGAGUUUUGUUCAGAAAUCAUUGCCCAGAAAUCAUUCAUGGGAUGAGUUUUGCCCAGAAAUCAUUCAUGGGAUGAGUUUUGCUCAGAAAUCAUUGUUCAGAAAUCAUUCAUGGGAUGAGUUUUGCUUAAUAAUCAUUCACAGGAUGAGUUUUGCCCAGAAAUCAUUCACAGGAUGAUUUUUUCUCAGAAAUCAUUGCUCAAUAAUCAUUCCUGGGAUGAGUUUUGCUUAGAAAUCAUUGCCCAGAAAUCAUUCACAGGAUGAGUUUUGUCCAGAAAUCGUUAAUGGGAUGAGUUUUGCUCAGAAA